UACCAGCACCCCGAGUGGUCGGGACGAUUAUUGGGCCUAAAGCAUCCGUAGCCGGUCUUACAAGUCCUCCGUUAAAUCCAACUGCUUAACAGAUGGGCCGCGGAGGAUACUAUGGAGCUAGGAGGCGGGAGAGGCAAGCGGUACUUAGUGGGUAGGGGUAAAAUCCGUUGAUCCAUUGAAGACCACCAGUGGCGAAGGCGGCUUGCCAGAACGCACUCGACGGUGAGGGAUGAAAGCUGGGGGAGCAAACCGG
rnacentral:rRNA from 1 species